UCGGGAAUUUUGCACAAUGGGCGAAAGCCUGAUGCAGCAACGCCGCGUGAGCGAAGAAGGCCUUCGGGUUGUAAAGCUCUGUUGCCCGUGACGAAGGACCGGAUCAGGAAAUGGGUCCGGGGGGACGGUAGCGGGCGAGGAAGCCCCGGCAAACUACGUGCCAGCAGCCGCGGUAAUACGUAGGGGGCGAGCGUUGUCCGGAAUUAUUGGGCGUAAAGGGCGUGUAGGCGGCCUGUUAAGUCAGGGGUGAAAACCCGUGGCUCAACCACGGGGUUGCCUUUGAAACUGGCGGGCUUGAGUGCUCUAGAGGGCAGUGGAAUUCCCGGUGUAGCAGUGAAAUGCGUAGAGAUCGGGAGGAACACCAGUGGCGAAGGCGGCUGCCUGGGGAGUAACUGACGCUGAGGCGCGAAAGCUAGGGGAGCAAACAGG
rnacentral:rRNA from 1 species